CUAAUACAUGCAAGUCGAGCGAGCUUGCCUAGAUGAUUUUGGUGCUUGCACUAAAUGAAACUAGAUACAAGCGAGCGGCGGACGGGUGAGUAACACGUGGGUAACCUGCCCAAGAGACUGGGAUAACACCUGGAAACAGAUGCUAAUACCGGAUAACAACACUAGACGCAUGUCUAGAGUUUGAAAGAUGGUUCUGCUAUCACUCUUGGAUGGACCUGCGGUGCAUUAGCUAGUUGGUAAGGUAACGGCUUACCAAGGCAAUGAUGCAUAGCCGAGUUGAGAGACUGAUCGGCCACAUUGGGACUGAGACACGGCCCAAACUCCUACGGGAGGCAGCAGUAGGGAAUCUUCCNCAAUGGACGAAAGUCUGAUGGAGCAACGCCGCGUGAGUGAAGAAGG
rnacentral:rRNA from 1 species